AUGGUGCUACAAUGCAAGCUCGGUAGCUUCCCUUGCCAUUAUCUUGGCCUACAGCUUGGGAUCAGCCAGCUAAGUAAAGCAGAUUGGCAGCCUCUCAUUGACCAGGUUCGGAAAUUCAUCCCAUCAUGGCAGCGUGGAUUCAUUCAGCGCCCAGGAAGACUAAUCCUAGUCAAGUCAAUGAUCACGGCCAAACCAAUUCACCAGUUACUUGUGCUGGACCCCCCGGCUUGGGUUAUCGAGGACAUCAACAAAUGGAUGCGGUCGUUUUUCUGGGCAGGGAAGGAUAAGAUUAAUGGCGGACAAUGUCUUGUUGCCUGGGAUACGAUUUGUCGUCCAACUUGCUUUGGAGGCCGCGGAGUGAAAAACAUGAGCUUACAAGCGCUCACGUUGCGCGUUCGUUGGGAGUGGCUGAGAAGAACCGACCCGGAUAGGCCAUGGCGAGGACUGCACAUGAUGGUCGACGAGCAGGCUCGAGAAGUAUUUGACAGCCUUGUCAAGAUCACCGUGGGCGAUGGAUCGAAAGUGCUAUCUUGGAAAGACCAUUAG
rnacentral:rRNA from 1 species